rnacentral:lncRNA from 1 species
CGUCAUGGUGAGGGAUGAGUCACUUCCCCUGUGGGCAGCGAUGACUGACUGCCUCUGCUGCCUGUGGAGCUGCCACACCAGAGCUGGGCACACGAGGAGUCACCACCUCCAAUCAGCUCUCUGAUGACGACACGAUGUAAAAGCAGUUUAUUAAGCUGCAAGAUGAAAGACUUUUACAGCUCAUAAAGGAGGAAAGCUCAUAAGAAGACAAGGUUCUAAUUCCAGGACACUGCUGCAUGCAGUUGAAUCAAUGGUGGUCACAGCAGAUUCCUGACACUGUGAGAAAUCUUUCUGCUCUUCUGCUGCUGCAUGGUCUUCAUACGGACCUCCAAACUGAGCUGAACUUCUGCAAAGCAAGAAAAGACAACAUUUUAUUUAAAAAUAAACAAAGCAGCAUUGAUGAUUGGACUGAAACCCAGUGGAGAGAGAUUAAUGUGGAACAGAUGGAUGUGCAGCUCAGAAGGUUUGCCAAGCCCUGCAGAAGAAAAUUCCAAAGGGACAAGAGAAGUGCAAAGUGA